rnacentral:tRNA from 1 species
ACGGAAGUAGUUCAGUGGUAGAACAUCACCUUGCCAAGGUGGGGGUCGCGGGUUCGAAUCCCGUCUUCCGCUCCA